UUAGCGGUGACACUGCGAGUGGAGGAGCCAUGAUGGAUGAGAACAGACCAAGACUUCCUGUCAAAGCGGAAGCAGUUUUUCAAAGUAAGUCAAAGGGAAGCUAAGCUAACACAUAUAGUCUGUUUUCUAAUUUGGAUUUUGCGCGAUAAAUGGGACAACAAACAUUGGAUUUGAACGUCAACAGCGCCACUCAGAAGUUUAUAUUCACUUAAGACUUGAAUGAUAUGUUUAUUUGGUGGUUGAUGGUGCAUUUGAAUUGUUCUUUCUUGGUGUGGAAUGAUUUUAGCGUGGAAAUGGUCAGUGAAUUUCGAAAACAUGACUUGGGUGUACAAAUCUGAAUUUACUGUGUUUUUUUUGGAUUUGCUGUUUUUUUGUUGUUUUUUUUCAAAUCCCCAAAAGGUCAAAAUUAUGGCAUGCAUACAUACAUGAUGAUCGUAAGUUAAAAUAUAAGGGAUAAAGAAGGUUAUUUGGCCUAUCUAAACAGAAUUAGUAGAGUUCAUUUCAUUUCCUGCAUUGUAUGUGCCCACUAUCUUCUGUAAAGUUGAGGGGUCAGUGCUUUCCAAAGCUUGUUAUUAGCAUAUAUUCUUUUUUAAAACUACUUUUGAUGUGUUUAUAAUCACAGUCCUGUUGCAUCCAAACAACACUGAAGUGUGUGUUUACAUGAUUUCAGGCUUUAUCUAUGACAUAAGCAUUUAAUGAUUUGGAAAAAUCCCAAUAGAUUCAAAGUUGUGCACCUAAUGCUUCCAAAAGGAAUUGAAGUUGUUUUUCCCUAAGAGUUAAACUAAAUGAUGAACAGAAAUCUACAAAUUUAAGAUUCUUGUGGACGAUGAGGUGACCUGAUCUAGCUGAUUGUAUCUUCGUCAACCAGAAUGGGUAAAGUAAAAUAUUCCAAACAAGUGUGGUCAAAAGACACAUCUUCUUUAUUCUAAUUAUAAUUAUUUUACAUGCAUGCCUGCAAGGAUAAAGUGUGUAAGUCAGCAGAUUUUGUGCAACCAGAACAGGAAAUGAGACAUCAAUAACAAAUACAGACACAACUAAGUGCUAAAUAAUAAUUUAAUUAAAAAAUAAUUAAAUUUGAUAAAGGUUGUAGUUGCAAGGUUUUACCACUAGAUGAUAUUAAGAUUCCACUGAGCACAAGAUAAGGAUCCUUAUAUGGAAACUAUCAUCAUGGGAACUGAAUUAGGACAGUUCUUCAUUAAAUCAUUGAAUGUGCAUCGUCCUUAAUGUUUCCAUGUGUCUAAUUUGCAUGUACAGGCAUGACAAAGUCUAACCUGAGGAUCUAUUAAGUUUGAUAACAAAAGUGCUGUUUAUUUCAGUGUGCACAGAAUAGGACAAACUCAAGCUGUGAGAAAAUAUUAUA